UAUAUGUACAUAUGUAUACAUAUAUAAUAAUAAUAUAUACAUACACACAUUCAGUAUGGUAUCUAUAACACACAAUUUUACUACCUUCAUCAUCAUUUUAUGUGAAGAAAAACAGAUAACAUUCACUGAGAUGUUUAAAUGUUUACAGUUUUUGAUGAUAGACUUAGCAGGAAAUAAUUAGACAUGUGGAAAGCUUCCAAUAUGCCUUCUGUACCUAUCACUGUAGAACUUCGAGCUGAGAUCACAAUGAGUAGAACUGUAUUAGAAAACAUUCUCCAUUCUGCUACACUUCCUCCGGGCUGAGUGAACCCAUCAUUUCUUACCAAUGCCUAGUACUUUAGAAAGGAACUCUCAUGAAACACCUGUGAAGAAAAACACCUAACCAUUUCCCAAGUCAGUACUGGAUGGCAACCUAAGAUAAGAAGCACUGUGAUGUGGGAGAGUCACACAGGCUGAAGAUCCAGUGGCCCUGGGCGUGAACUCUGUUGCUUUCUGCACUUAUUGCAUUCAGUUCAUUGAUCUUGGGUAAGUCAUUUAAUCUCUCUAGAGUUGCAGUUUUUUAAUCAGUAUGAGUGGGAUAAUCAUCUUCACAGAGUCAUUAAGAGGGUUAAACCAAUGAAUACAAAUAAAGUACCUAAUACAAGGCCCAGAAUUCCUGUUUUUCUUUCCCUUCCUCUUUUCAUUUGAUUAACACAAAGUCCUCUUUUUGUUAUUAUAAACAGGAAAGGCAUCCAUAACACUGUGAGGAAACUAUUAUUUUAAACAUUGUACAGUAUUUCUAGAUUUUUCAAAAUAAUCUGAUCAUCCUGCCAAAAUUUCUCAUGCUAACAGAAAAUUUCAAAAUGUUUGACUUUCCAGUAGUAUUAUUUUUUUAUUAUGUUAGAG